CCAACACACAGAGACAACUUCCUGCCACGAGCGUUUCGCAAGAUGAGAACAGACACUCAAGGUAGUCACAGUUUGGAUGGUGGAUUGCUUAUCCAAUACUAUUCAGGACAUUCACAAGAACAGAGGGAAUACAGGACGUUAAAUCUGAAACCACUUCAAGCUGGGAUGUCCCUCCUACCAUUUCAUUCGCUCUUCCGACUGUCCAUCAACUCCUGGCUGAUCCCUACAUCACUGACAAAGCGCAUGCCUGCAAUCCUUACAUCAUAGA